rnacentral:rRNA from 1 species
CCUACGGGAGGCAGCAGUGAGGAAUAUUGGUCAAUGGACGUGAGUCUGAACCAGCCAAGUAGCGUGAAGGAUGACGGACCUAUGGGUUGUAAACUUCUUUUAUAUGGGAAUAAAGUGUUCCACGUGUGGGAUUUUGUAUGUACCCUAUGAAUAAGGAUCGGCUAACUCCGUUCCAGCAGCCGCGGUAAUACGGAGGAUCCGAGCGUUAUCCGGAUUUAUUGGGUUUAAAGGGUGCGUAGGUUGUUUUUUAAGUCAGUGGUGAAAGUUUGUGGCUCAACCGUAAAAUUGCAGUUGAAACUGGCAGUGUUGAGUAUAGUAGAGGUGGGCGGAAGUCGUGGUGUAGCGGUGAAAGGCUUAGAUAUCACGAAGAACUCCGAUUGCGAAGGCAGCUCACUGGACUGCAACUGACACUGAGGCACGAAAGUGUGGGUAUCAAACAGGAUUAGAUACCCUAGUAGUC